rnacentral:rRNA from 1 species
UACAGGGGGUGCAAACGUUGCUCGGAAUUAUUGGGCGUAAAGCGCGCGUAGGCGGCCACUUAAGUCGGAUGUGAAAGCCCCUGGCUCAACUGGGGAAGUGCACCCGAAACUGAAUGGCUUGAAUGCAAAAGAGGGUCGCGGAAUUCCCGGUGUAGAGGUGAAAUUCGUAGAUAUCAGGAGGAACGCCGGUGGCGAAGGCGCACAUCUGGCCCGAUACUGACGCUGAAGCGCGAAAGCUAGGGGAGCAAACGGG